UACGGGGGAGCAAGCGUUGUUCGGAUUUACUGGGCGUAAAGGGCGCGUAGGCGGCCAGCACAAGUCAGUUGUGAAAUCUCCGAGCUUAACUCGGAAAGGUCAACUGAUACUGCGGGGCUAGAGUGCGGGAAGGGGCAACUGGAAUUCUCGGUGUAGCGGUGAAAUGCGUAGAUAUCGAGAGGAACACCUGCGGCGAAGGCGGGUUGCUGGCCGACACUGACGCUGGAGGCGCGAAAGCCAGGGAGCGAACGGG
rnacentral:rRNA from 1 species